UACGUAGGGGCAAGCGUUAUCCGGAUUUACUGGGUGUAAAGGGAGCGCAGACGGAACUGCAAGUCUGAUGUGAAAGCCCGGGGCUCAACCGCGGGACUGCAUUGGAAACUGUAGAUCUGGAGUGCCGGAGGGGCAAGCGGAAUUCCUAGUGUAGCGGUGAAAUGCGUAGAUAUUAGGAGGAACACCGGUGGCGAAGGCGGCUUACUGGACGAUAACUGACGUUGAGGCUCGAAAGCGUGGGGAGCAAACAGGAUUAGAUACCCUGGUAGUCCCUGA
rnacentral:rRNA from 1 species